AUGCGUAAGCGCCAGCAUAUCCAUCCAGCGCCAAAUUCGAAAAGAUGAUGCAAAUGUGACGUUUUCUUUCUUAAUUUACAGGGCAUCAGAAGGUCUGAUGGUUGCAUCACAAAGAUGAAGAGCAGAAGAAGGAUUCGACGGAUAAGGUGAAACGACAGGACUCUUCAUCACAGGAUGAAUACUUCAAAGCACUCACCAAAGAGUUCUGCAACUGGGUUUCAUGAUUUGGGCCGGAACAAAAAUUGUGUAGAAGAGUCAACAAUUCACAGUAUCUAUGCUAGUGGUUAUGGGACAAAGCCCGCCCUCUCUGUACUGAUCCAUGUCAUCCAACUAACAAAGGUUCCUGCAGAGCUAAGUGUGUCAGAAUAGGCUCUAUUGCAGACUUCAGAACAGAUGGAGAAGAAGCAGAAAUAGUUGAAAUGCAGUACGGUUCAGGGAAUUAAACUCCUCAGCUGGGUAAAGAUGAUUUACGGAGCCUGGUGCCUCAAACCAAAGACAUGGAAAAGAAGACUGACAUCAGAGCAAGCACAAAGUAAUAUCCAUGAGAGCAAAGUCCUGGAAGCAAGGGUUCAUCUGGCAGAAGUGUCCCAGCAGGUAGCACAGAAUAUGGAGCUUGAUUAAGAAGAAUUUAUUGUCAUGCUAGAUGAUGAACUCGACAAACUCUAGUCCAUGGUCGAGAAAAUACCCAGCAUUAUGCCACCAGAACCAGUGAAGGUAUAGAGUUCUAUUCAUGAGAGCAGAGCCCUGGAAUCAAGGGUUCUACUAGCAGAAGUGGCCCAAUGGGAAGUGCUGUAUAUGAAGUUGGAUUAGGAAAAGUUGGUGUCAUGCUGGAGGAUAAACUCAACAAACUCGGGUCAAUGGUCAAGAAAAUGCCCAUCAAUAUGCCACCAGAACCAUUGUCAUGUCACUCAAUGUACAUCAUGGAUACACCCCCUAUCUGAUGUGAACCAUUUACCAAGCAUAAAAGAGAGAGAUAGUCUAUCAGAGACAAGGACAUGGCACCAAUCUUAAAAUCAUCUUCUAGUUUUAAAAGAUGUUGGUAUUUAAUUGAUCAGGUAGAUCAACUUGAUCAAACCAAUUAUCAGUUUAAACUUUAUUUAAAUUUAUCCAAAACUUUUUUUGAAGAAUGUGACUUUUAUAUGAAUUUAUAUUCAGGAACCCAUUUUUAUUAAUUUUUUAUGAUUUUUACAUAGCUCCAAUCAGCAGGUCCAAGCUAUUAUCUCUUUGCUGGCAUUUGAUUGUAUCUGAAUUGUCUGUUGUGUCAUUAUUGCAUGCAUACUAUGUAUGUUGUGAGGCUUAGAAUUAAUCCUAACAAGGGGGUGGGGGUUCCCUUGAAAUAUCGGUCAUCGACUGCAAUUGUACCGAUAGUUGGCAUGCACAUUGCCUUGUCCCUGAUUUUACUAAUUUAUUUGUAAAAUGCAAAAUCAUACUUUUUGCUUCCAAAAUAAAGCUCCAAAUAUCCUAAUUUUUGGUGUAGAAAGUCUUUGUAGUGUUCUUAUAAAAUGUUCUUGGAAAAAACUGCAAUAUCAGGCUGAAUUCUUAUGUAUUAUUUUGUUUUUACAAUUUCCUAUGUAUUUCUUUUUGACCUCUUGCAUUCCAUUGACUUUUUUAAUGAAAUUCUCCGGUGAUACUUAAAAGAUUGCAAGCAGCAUAUGAAAACAAAUAUAUUCAGUUAUUCAUAUUUGGUUGAAAACACAAUUUGUAUUGAAAUUGUAUACAAAAUCAUGUUUUUGAACAAAUUUUGGUCCAACAUGCAUGCAGUAAAUUAUGUGUAUCUUCGGAACCACGUACCCAGUUGUCACAAAUGUAGUCUUAAAAGAUACAGAAGUUUUGUUUUGUUGAGAAAAUAUCACACGAAACGUUGAUGGGGGCCCUCUAAUUAAGUUCCUUUUGCAUCGUGUAAUGAAAGGUUUGUUUGUGGAUAUUUUUUGUAUUUCUAUACGUAGCUUCUAAUUAAAAAACUCUGGAUGGUGUAUACAUGCGAUAUAAAAAAAUAGAAUAAGAUUGUAUUCAAUUGUACUUCUAAUAUUCAGACUAGAUUCAAGUAUUGAUGUGAGUAACAAUGAUCUGACUAGAUUUUUGGGUCAUGAGUCAAAGGUCAUAUAUGUCAGGCUGUUUUUCAAUCAGGAUAUAUCAUAUAAGAAAGGUCAAUUGUGUGUAAGAAAUAAAAUAUGUGUACUGUAAUUGGACUCAAAUCUACGAUGGCAUGUGAUUGGGCACUGUUAGAGCAACGAGAAAAACAUCAAGAAAAUGUACUAUAUUUAGCUUUUUAUGGCCAAAAUUGCUUUUUAAAAAAAAAUUUGAGCCUGUGUGUCUUAAGUAUUAGUGAUUAUUGAAAUGCCAUUAAUCAAAAAUUUAAAACCACAGAUUUUGCAACAGAUUAUUUAUUUGGUGACUAUUAUAAAAAAAAAAAAUGAGUGCCAAAUCUGUCCAAAAUAUCUUCUUUGAAUUCUGUAUUUAUAUGCUUACCCAUUACUUGAAAAAUGAUUUUUUUUUUUUAAUAUAAAACACUUGUAGUUUUCUGUUUGCUCACAUCCACUUAUUUUGCAGACAGUUCAUGUUCCAAUGUCUGUUUAAAAUCCUUUUUUUUUCUAAUGUGUCCUCCCCCCCAAAAAAAAUAAAAUAAAAUAAAAAAAUAGGUAAUUGACAGAACAUCUAAUCAAAGAUUAACCAAUCAUAGAAAAAAUAUGUGGGUGACGUUAUGCCUCUCACAACUAAAAAAAUAUAUAAUUUCACUUCUUUCCAACACAGAAAUAUGAGGAAAAACAAACAAUUUUUUAGUCAAAUGAGACAGCUUGGUACACCCCUAGUUUUGAAAUAUCCUGUAUUGAAAUAAUUUGUUCUCGCUAUAAAUGAAGAACGGUUUGGGAGAUCAACUCUUGCUUUCAAUCUGUAUUUUCCUUCAACAAGAAACAUUGUGCCACACUCAACCCAGAUUAAGACAAAAAUCCAAGGUACUGGUAGAUAGGUCUGAUGUUACUCUGUUAUAAAUUGCUUUCAUAUUAUUUAAUAUUUUACCUUUUUUAUAAGUAUAUCAAACUAGCAAAACAAUUCUGGGCGGCUUUCUUGAAAGUAUUUCAUCCCUCCCCCUCCCCCCCCCAAAAAAAGACAGAAAUCUGACCAAUCAUGCUGAAAGCAUUAACGUACUCAUGAUCUUUGAUACACAGUCUGAUCAAUUCAUUUGCAUUAAAGCAGGUCCUUUGAGAGUGAUUCCAGCAAUCUCUUGAUCUGUUAUUUUCCACAUGCAAGUAGAAAUUUAAUCACGCUUAAUUUUUUGUGAAACACCUUUUUAAUUUGUCUCUUAAGGCCUCCACACACCUUGCGAGGGGUCCAUGAUCUAAUUUUGGAACUAAUGACAUUUUGCUAAUUUUUUGAAAUGUGAUUGACUACUAUCUUUUUUUCGAGACUUGAAUUAAUUAAGUACACUAAAUGAUUUUGGAUGAUUUUAAGCCUUUAAUUUUUUUAGUCCAAAUUUAAGGCCAAAUUGGUUUUAAAUUGUAACCAAUCAUACGAUUGCUAUGAUGUCUUUUUGACUAGAUUGUCAUUUUGCUUGUAUUCAAAUGAUGAUGCUAGCAUAGUCACAGAUUUCAAUAUGAGUAUAUUCAUUGAUGAUUUGGAAGAUUACACAGCAAGAUGUCACAUGUCUCUACAGUAUGUUCACAAAUACUCCUGUAAUAAUCGGUUCAUAGACCAAUCAAAAGGUGUGUGAUGACCUUGACAUCAAUGUCAGAUAGCUUGGACCUGCCCUACAGUGUACAAUUGUCUGUGCUAUACUUGCUUUGUAUUCAUGUAGUGUAUUUUUUU